rnacentral:siRNA from 1 species
UAUAGGUGGUGUUGCGGCUG